UUUACAUGAUGAAUGCCACCUUUUGGUCCAUGUUGAUGAGAUCAUGUGAUUAUAUUUUGAAUAUUCUGAUAAA